rnacentral:rRNA from 1 species
UACGGGGGGGGCAAGCGUUGUUCGGAAUUACUGGGCGUAAAGGGCUCGUAGGUGGCCAACUAAGUCAGACGUGAAAUCCCCAGGCUUAACCUGGGAACUGCGUCUGAUACUGGAUGGCUUGAAUUCGGGAGAGGGAUGCAGAAUUCCAGGUGUAGCGGUGAAAUGCGUAGAUAUCUGGAGGAAUACCGGUGGCGAAGGCGGCAUCCUGGACCGAGAUUGACACUGAUGAGCGAAAGCCAGGGAGCAAACGGG